AUUGAACGCUGGCGGAAUGCUUUACACAUGCAAGUCGAGCGGCAGCGCGGGGCAACCUGGCGGCGAGCGGCGAGCGGGUGAGUAAUGCAUCGGAACAUGUCCAGUCGUGGGGGAUAGCCCGCCGAAAGGCGGAUUAAUACCGCAUACGCCCGGGAGGGGAAAGCGGGGGACCUGCAAGGGCCUCGCGCGAUUGGGUUGGCCGAUGUCCGAUUAGCUAGUUGGUGGGGUAAAGGCCCACCAAGGCGAUGAUCGGUAGCUGGUCUGAGAGGAUGAUCAGCCACACGGGGAGUGAGACACGGCCCAGACUCCUACGGGGGGCAGCAGUGGGGAAUUUUGGACGAUGGGGGCAACCCUGAUCCAGCCAUUCCGCGUGAGUGAAGAAGGCCUUCGGGUUGUAAAGCUCUUUUGUCCGGAGCGAAACGGUUGUGGUGAAUAUCCACGACUACUGACGGUACCGGAAGAAUAAGCACCGGCUAACUACGUGCCAGCAGCCGCCGUAAGAC
rnacentral:rRNA from 1 species